GACGAACGCUGGCGGCGUGCCUAAUACAUGCAAGUAGAACGCAGUUGCGAACGGGUGAGUAACGCGUAGGUAACUGCCUCAUAGCGGGGGGUAACUAUUGGCAACGAUAGCUAAUACCGCAUACUGUGAGAUGGACUUGCGUUGUGUUAGCUAGUUGGUGGGGUAAAGGCGCACCAAGGCGACGAUACAUAGCGGAACUGGGAGGGGGGUUGGCCACCCUGGGAGGGGGACAGGGCCCAGACGCCCUUGGGAGGCAGCCGUAGGGAAUCUGCGGCAAGGGACGGAAGUCUGAGCGAGCAACGCCGCGGGAUUGAAGAAGGUCUUCGGAUGGGAAAGCUCUGUUGUUAGAGAAGCGGUAGCUAACCAGAAAGGAACGGCUAACUACGUGCCAGCAGCCGCGGUAAUAC
rnacentral:rRNA from 1 species